GAUGAACGCUGGCGGCGUGCCUAAUACAUGCAAGUCGAGCGAACAGAUAAGGAGCUUGCUCCUUUGACGUUAGCGGCGGACGGGUGAGUAACACGUGGGUAACCUACCUAUAAGACUGGAAUAACUCCGGGAAACCGGGGCUAAUGCCGGAUAACAUUUAGAACCGCAUGGUUCUAAAGUGAAAGAUGGUUUUGCUAUCACUUAUAGAUGGACCCGCGCCGUAUUAGCUAGUUGGUAAGGUAACGGCUUACCAAGGCAACGAUACGUAGCCGACCUGAGAGAGUGAUCGGCCACACUGGAACUGAGACACGGUCCAGACUCCUACGGGAGGCAGCAGUAGGGAAUCUUCCGCAAAGGGCGAAAGCCUGACGGAGCAACGCCGCGUGAGUGAUGAAGGUCUUCGGAUCGUAAAACUCUGUUAUUAGGGAAGAACAAAUGUGUAAGUAACUGUGCACGUCUUGACGGUACCUAAUCAGAAAGCCACGGCUAACUACGUG
rnacentral:rRNA from 1 species